CAGCACUUGGGAUGUGCACCAACAGUUCUUAUGGGGGCCCGGCCUCCUCAUCACUCCAGUUCUGGAUGAAUUCUACUCCUUAAGACUGUAGCUGCAGCUGCAUAGACAAGCUACCUUUCUAGAGAGAGAAACAUCCAUCUACAUGCUGAGGAGUAUUUUUUAGUGUUUUCUGUAAUUUCAUAGCAGAACCUGGGUAAAGUUAACCUAAACUGCUAACAUCAGUCAUGAUGAAAUGUGAAAAAAUACCUUCAUAUACUUUAUUCAGCAAUAAGAUAGGCUGACAUAGUAUCUCAUAAAUUAAUAUUGGAGGAACUGAUGGA
rnacentral:sRNA from 1 species